UCCCGUCGAGUAACAAAAAUAUAACUUGUUUGUUGCAUGCUAGAAACUUAUCGGUAUAGCGUGGAAAAGACUAGCGUGCAAACUUUGGUUGGUUCUUUCUCCGGAGUCGUAUAGAUUUGCUAACUAACUCUUUCCUUGUACAUUAUGCCUUGCAGGGAAGAAGACCACAUUUGGUGACGAUUAGGAACUGUUUUGAGCCACAAAAUGGUCUGAUGCAACUGCCGCGUGUCUAGACGACUGUAUCCCCGUGUUUCCCAUUGUCCUAGUGGACCUAGUAUCAUUUGUCUGUAGUAUUUUCUUGCCGCUAUAUGUUGUAAUGCCAGAAUUCUACUAUAUAUGUUACACCUAGUGUUUUUUUGCUACUUCCUCUAUCCAAGUAUUCAAGACUAGAAGUGGUCAUGCAUCUCCUAUAAAAUAGCCAAUCAUUAGUACCAAACAAACCAGUGUCCCUUGAUUCUGAUGAUUAAUGCAGUCGAAAUUGAAAUUUCAUGCAAUUGGUGGCUCAUGCAUGGUGCAAGCUUCAUCUUUAAUUAGAGGGAGAGAUUAACUGAGGCUCUUCUCUUA
rnacentral:lncRNA from 1 species